rnacentral:lncRNA from 1 species
CUGACUCACAAGCUCACAAUUGCCUUGUUUUGUUUUGUUGUCUGGGGAAUGAAGCUACGGCUUUGGUCUUGCUAGCUACUAGACAAACACUCUGCUGCUGCACCACAUUCCUAUGCCACAGCCCAGAGUUACAGGGGGAGAAGCACUACAUCCAGACUACAGUGACUACACGGAGGGGAGAUGCUCAUUCUGCUGCUGAUCAAUCAAGGCUCCACUGCACAGUACUUUAAGACGGCACUGCAGGGUUGAGAGCAUAAGCCUUGGAAUGGGACAAUACUGAUGACAAAGCCGGCCAUCUUCUCAAUGAGUCUUCACAUGAGGAAAGCAUGGAGAAGAGAGGAGCUUUCUUAGAUCUCUUCCUAUAAGGGUACUAAUCCUUUUCUUGAAGGUUCUGUUCUCAUCUGUGAACCGUGAAGUCAAACAAGUUGGUGCUUCUAAAACACAGUGAUUGAAUGGACUGCCGAUGGUUGUGAAGGGGACAACCAAGGAUAUUGUUUUAAAAGCUAAUUGGUCCAAGCAGGUCAGACCUGUCCAGGCAAAUCCUACGAAAUUUCAAGGCUCAAGAACAAGCCUCUUCUGCUGAGUGAUCUGCCCUCUCAGCCAUCUGGAGUAGCAAAGGGCUCUCCUCAGCAGUGCUGUUCCAUGGGUGUUGUCAGAGGCUUCUGCCCUGUAGAAACUAGAGUUGUGACCCUAAUAACCUCUGAAUCAUUUUGGGUGGGGGUGGGGGUUGUCUUCCUUCCCUUGCCUUUAAGAACAGCACAUUCUCAGCCACCCUCUGUUCCAUUUCCUUUUGCUGUUCCCCUUGGUGCCUGCCUGCUGUCCUGUCAGGUAAUCACACCUCUCUUCCUGACUUCCGUUGAGAUGCAAAUGCUUCACAUUUAUGCUAAUCUUUUCAGCAAAUGGCUAGUCUGACUACUGCUAAGGUUCUCUUCUCAGCAUGCUUUAUCUGUGUGUGUGUGUGUGUGUGUGUGUGUGUGUGGUGUGUGUAUUUGGUGUGUUAUGCUGAGACUUUUCCACAUCUUAUCUCCUGGUUCCUUUUGCUUAACAAUUCUGUACACAAACAUGAAGGACUCUAAGGGAUAAAUGGUCCCCAGGAAUGGAAGUGGCAUGAACUCCCGAACUAAUUGGGGGCAUGAGGGUGGGGAGGAAAGGAGCUGCUACAAUAAGAGUAAGAGAAGAGGAGAAGAGGAGAGGAAACGGAGGGGCAGAAACAUUGAGUUGGGGGAAGAAUAGAGGAAAGAGAGUAAGAUGAGAGAUACGAUAUCAGAGGGAGCCACUAUAGGCCCGAGAAGGGAUCUGGAACCAGGGAGAUCUCCAGAGACCUACAAGGAUGACAUGAUCUGACAAUCCAGGCAACGGUGGAGAGGAUAACCUAAAAACCCUCCCCCUAAAAUGAGAUUGAUGACUUCUCUUUAUGCCAUCCUAGAGCCCUCAUCCAGUGGCCGAUGGAAACAGAGACAGACAUCCACAGAUAUACAAUGAGCCGAAAUCGGGAAUUUAGUUGAAGAGAGGGAGGAAUGAAGAACGAAGGGGUCUGUACUAGGUUGGAGAAACCCACAGGAACAGUUGACCUGAACAAGGGAGAGCACAUCGACCCCAGAUGCUGUUCAGGAGGCCAGUACAAGACUGAUCCAGACCCCUGAACAUGGAUGUCAAUAAGGAGGCCUCUGCACUCCAGGGAGCCUCUGGUGGUGGAUUAGUAUUUUUCCCUGGUGCAAGAAGGGACUUUGAGAGCCCAUCCCAUACGAAGGGUUACACUAUGGCCCUGGACACAUGGGGAAGGGCCCAGGACCAGCAUAGGAAGACUUGGUGGACUUUGCAGAGCCCUCGUUGAGGGCCCUACCCUGCCUGGGGAGUGGUGGGUGGAUGGGGUGGGGGUAGGCUGGGGGUG